CUCUGUUGAACCAUGUUUCAUCCAUCUCUUUCCCAAAGAGAAUAUUAUCUUCUACUGAAGCGUUUUGUAUCCAAGCUUGCUGGGGGACAUAAGCUGUGGUGCCCUAUAAAAACAGAAGAAGAAGAAUGAAUUCAACAUUAAAUAUGAAGCAAACUGAGAAGCCUCCAGGUACUCCAUACUGGUUUCACUUAGUUCCUGAGGAAUUAGUUCAUUCAGCAUCCACCUGGACCUACAGAACUGAGAUGAUUAAAGAAUGUACCUGAAACUGACUCCUCUUCUUGGUGAUCAUGAAAUUCAGAGGCAAAAGAAAAAAGAAUACAGCAAUCGAGGUCAAGGCAGAUGGCCCAAGAAGCUGCCGGAAAGAAAAGGAAAGAGGAAGAAUUUAUGGAACUAGAUUAGUGCUGAAAGUCAUCCAGAAGCAUGUUGGAAAUUCAAGUAAUUUCUGUUUCUGCUCAUCUGAUCUUAGAUGUGUUAAGGACAUCUUGUGGCUGGCAUAACCCAGGCAACAAUUUCUUCAGAGGAGUCCUCUUUCCUCACUGACCACAAGUCAUCCACCCCCAAGGACUGUUUAAAGCCUUUCUGGAGAAGCCUGGAGAACAGACAAACUGCUGUAAGAGAACCACCAGUAUGUGAUUUUGGAAAGAAAAUUGCUGCUGGCUUCGGGACACUGAUUCUGAUGGGAGGAAAAACAUGGGUGAUAUUUAUAUAUAGAAAAGGGCACGUGUCAGACGAAUAUAGUCCCCUUGUGUGUUUCCCCAGGAAAAUCAAUGAAGAAGUUAAACACACCCCAUUCAUUGACACCGACAGCGGGUUGUGGAGGAUCAAUGACUUUGGGAGACUUUGCAGAAUUAGACUUUGUAUGUCUCAGAUGGAGGAACAAACAAUAUAAUUCUUCAUACCCAAAGACAUUUAUUUCUUGAAGCAGUAUAAGCCCUACCUACUGGAUUCAAUAAAAAUAAAAAUGAGUAUGGAUAGAUGAGGUUUUUAGUUUUUAAAAACACACAUAGAGAGACAGAGUACUGUUAUCUCAAAUUCUGCUGGUUACCUUUUAAAACUUCAGCCAUUACACGGAAUGAUGCAUCUUGCAUCUGCCAAAUACUCGAGUUCCUGUGUAUCCCCAUAAAUAUAAAUUCCCGUUUGAGCAAUAAGGCAAUGUAUAAGCUACAUUACACUUACAGGAUUGUUGACAACUUCAGAGAAGAAGGGAGGGUGAUCAACUAGGCAGAAUAACACAAGUUCUCCCAGCACCAGGAUGGUGAAAAGGGCAUGCUGGACUUUGGAAGUAAACAUCACAACUGCAGCCAGCACUGAGAGCAGCCAGUAAAUCAACAGGAUGCCUGAAGACUGGAUGCCCGCCAUUCUUUCUGCUUGGGUAAGAAAUAUGGCAAGGAUCUGUGAG